GACGAACGCUGGCGGCGUGCCUAAUACAUGCAAGUAGAACGCUGAAGGAGGAGCUUGCUCUUCUUGGAUGAGUUGCGAACGGGUGAGUAACGCGUAGGUAACCUGCCUGGUAGCGGGGGAUAACUAUUGGAAACGAUAGCUAAUACCGCAUAAUAGUAGAUGUUGCAUGACAUUUGCUUAAAAGGUGCAAUUGCAUCACUACCAGAUGGACCUGCGUUGUAUUAGCUAGUUGGUGAGGUAACGGCUCACCAAGGCAACGAUACAUAGCCGACCUGAGAGGGUGAUCGGCCACACUGGGACUGAGACACGGCCCAGACUCCUACGGGAGGCAGCAGUAGGGAAUCUUCGGCAAUAGACGGAAGUCUGACCGAGCAACGCCGCGUGAGUGAAGAAGGUUUUCGGAUCGUAAAGCUCUGUUGUAAGAGAAGAACGAGUGUGAGAGUGGAAAGUUCACACUGUGACGGUAUCUUACCAGAAAGGGACGGCUAACUACGUG
rnacentral:rRNA from 1 species